GUGCUUGCUUCGGCAGCACAUAUUGUAGAAUUGGGAUGAUACCGAGAUUAGCAUGGUGCCUGCACAAGGAUGAUGCACAAAUUCAUGAAAAGUCCAUAUUUUUU